UACGAAGGGGCUAGCGUUGUUCGGAUUUACUGGGCGUAAAGCGCACGUAGGCGGAUCGUUAAGUCGGGGUGAAAUCCUGGAGCUCAACUCCAGAACUGCCUUCGAUACUGGCGAUCUUGAGUCCGGGAGAGGUGAGUGGAACUGCGAGUGUAGAGGUGAAAUUCGUAGAUAUUCGCAAGAACACCAGUGGCGAAGGCGGCUCACUGGCCCGGUACUGACGCUGAGGUGACGAAAGCGUGGGGAGCAAACAGG
rnacentral:rRNA from 1 species